rnacentral:rRNA from 1 species
AUAUGGGACGAAAAGAGCUUAGCGGUGAGGGANGGGGAUGCGUCCGAUUAGCUUGACGGCGGGGUAACGGCCCACCGNGGCANCGAUCGGUAGGGGUUCUGAGAGGAAGGUCCCCCACACUGGAACUGAAACACGGUCCAGACUCGUACGGGAGGCAGCAGUGAGGAAUAUUGGUCAAUGGGCGGAAGCCAGANCCAGCCAAGUAGCGUGCAGGAUGACGGCCCUAUGGGUUAUAAACUGCUUUUAUGCGGGGAUAAAGUGGCCCACGNGUGGGUUUUUGCAGGUACCGCAUGAAUAAGGACCGGCUAAUUCCAUGCCAGCAGCCGCGGUAAUACGGAAGGUCCGGGCGUUAUCCGGAUUUAUUGGGUUUAAAGGGAGCGUAGGCCGCCCAUUAAGCGUGUUGUGAAAUGCGGGUGCUCAACAUCCGACUUGCAGCGCGAACUGGGGGGCUUGAGUGCGCCGAAAGUAGGCGGAAUUCGUGGUGUAGCGGUGAAAUGCUUAGAUAUCACGAAGAACUCCGAUNNGAAGGCAACUUACUGUAGCGCAACUGACNNGAUGCUCGAAAGCGGGGGUAUCGAACAGG